GCUGCGCCUCGCUGUGUCCUAACUCCUGACCAAUGUCCUUCAGCCUCUGGUAGCUCAUUCACUUUUUAGUGUUAGAUCUCCUUCUAUCAAGGUUUAAUGUUCUUGUACUAUUUUUCUGAGACAUGGUCACGGUUUCUUUAUGCAUGAUUUUUUAAAGAAAUCAAAGAUCUUGUUAUGUAAUGUUUAGUAUCUCUUUGUACCUUUGAUUUAUGCACCAAACUAGAGGUGGGCCAUGAAGGCAUGGAUGUUCAAUAUUUUUUCCAAUAAUAUAUGGUGAAAAAACAAUUUGAUUUUCGUAUACUUGUGUCUUUUCAUGUUCACUUGGUCCAUUAGUUUAAUUUUUCUUGAACUUCUAUUUGGAAGGAGGCAAAUUGAUCAGAUGACACCAUCUCACAUCUCAGUGCCAGUCUAUUGCAACAUUGGCACAUAUUAUUCUGAUAUGUAAUAUUCUGAAUAAUAAUUUGAUUAUGUCCAAGUGAACAGUAGAAGAAUUAUCUGUCACGUGCAUAUUUGACAUGGAAUGCAGGAAGGGCCACAACUAAUUGAUGUUCUCAUAAUGCUACCAUAAUACUAUGGUUCUCCUUUCUCAGUUCUGGGGAAGAGUUCACCAAAAGAAUUUGCUUCUCUUUUGGUUCACUUUCAGUUACCCUUUGUCAACCCCUCUCUCAUUUUGAUUGCAGGAUACUGUGCUUACUCCCAUCUCCCGUGGAUCGCAGGCUUUCAAAGGUGGGGCAUGGGCUCAGAGGCACAAAUUGGACUGACAAAUGCUGAUAGAGGAGGAGAACACCAUGCAAUAAAAAGAAACACCCAAGCGCAGAUCUGUUUCAACGCAGACGGUACCUGAUGCUAAUAUAAUUGGUCGGCGUAGCAGCGAUCCAUCCAACACGGCUAGAGAUACCUAGGCACUCGGUGCUAUUUCUCGCGUCAAUGCACCCCUAUGCCGGGAGUCGAAGGAAAGUAAACAUAGACGCAUAUUGUGUUCAACGUGAUGAUACAAGCGAGAGUUGGCCUAUGCCGCCAACUGAUUUGCGGCAGCGUGGAAGGAGUGUUCAAAAGCAGCAGGAGCAGUUAUUCUACUGCUGGUCGGAGGGAGAGCUUGGCAAGGGAGAUAGAGGGAGCUCUACAAUCACAAUCUUGGCAUAAAACCCGAUGGCAUCAUGCCCACAGCAACCUCCUUCUGGGUGACAAAAGAAUUAGGUCCAGAUAAUUCGUUCUUUGAGCAAAGCAACUUUGUUGGGGAUGCGAAAAGAAGUUUCAGUUUUCUUACUAAUGUGGCAAUCAGUUUUCCUUAUGUUGGUUUUGUACUAAACAUGAUCAUUUAUGAAAGACCUUGAAAGAACUCUAUACAGUAUGUCAAUCAAGAAAAUCAGGUAGCUUUUUGGGCGUUCUCUCUUAGUAUUACAACCUUAAUCCUUGUUGGGUUUGAAAGAAAUUGUGUUAAACAUGGUUAUGAGCUUAUUGGAUCUUAAACAAACUA